GAUUGUGGGAAUAAUGGCUUGUCAGAUCUCAGACGCUAAGCAGAGUCAGGCCUGGUUAGCACUUGGAUGGGAGACUGAUGGGAAUACCAGGUGCCACAGUUG
rnacentral:rRNA from 1 species